UACGUAGGGGGCGAGCGUUGUCCGGAGUUACUGGGCGUAAAGGGCAUGCAGGCGGUCAGGCGCGUUUUGUGUGACAGCGGAUGGCUUAACUAUCCGAGGAUACGAAAGACGGCGUGACUUGAGAGCGCGAGAGGGACACGGAAUUCCGGGUGGAGUGGUGAAAUGCGUAGAUAUCGGAAGGAACACCAGUGGCGAAAGCGGCUUCCUGGUCCAGCACCGACAUUCAGGCACGAAAGCGUGGGGAGCAAACAGG
rnacentral:rRNA from 1 species